GACGAACGCUGGCGGCGUGCUUAACACAUGCAAGUCGAACGGAAAGGCCCGGCGUUUGUGGGGUGCUCGAGUGGCGAACGGGGGAGUAAAACGUGAGUAACCUGCCCUUGACUGUGGGAUAACUUCAGGAAACUGGGGCGAAUACCGGGGAGAAUCUUCUGAUCCAUGUGGGGGGUUGGAAAGUGUCGGCGUUUGGGGAUGGACUCGCGGCUUAUCAGCUGGUUGGUCGGGUAGGGAAGUACCACGGCUUUGACGGGUAGCCGGCAUGGGAGGGUGACCGGGCACCUUAGGCCUGCGAUACGGACCAGAAUCCUACCGGCGGCAGCAGGGGGGAAUAUUGCAGAAUGGGCGGAAGCCUGAUGCAGCAACGCCGGGUGCGGGAUGCCGGGUUUCGGGUUGUAAACAGCUUUCGCCUGUGCCGAAGAGUGCGUGACGGUAAUGGGUCAAGAAGCACCGGCUAACUACGUG
rnacentral:rRNA from 1 species